rnacentral:piRNA from 1 species
UCCAGGUGCAAAACUUCCUCGAGUCC